UUCACCUACGGGAGGCAGCAGUGAGGAAUAUUGGUCAAUGGGCUUACGCCUGAACCAGCCAAGUCGCGUGAGGGAAGACUGCCCUAUGGGUUGUAAACCUCUUUUGUCAGGGAGCAACGCCGGCUACGUGUAGCCGGACUGAGAGUACCUGAAGAAAAAGCAUCGGCUAACUCCGUGCCAGCAGCCGCGGUAAUACGGAGGAUGCGAGCGUUAUCCGGAUUUAUUGGGUUUAAAGGGUGCGUAGGCGGGCUGUUAAGUCAGCGGUCAAAUGUCGGGGCUCAACCCCGGCCUGCCGUUGAAACUGG
rnacentral:rRNA from 1 species